GACGAACGCUGGCGGCGUGCCUAAUACAUGCAAGUAGGACGCAGUUGCGAACGGUUGAGUAACGCGUAGGUAACUACCUAUUAGAGGGGGAUAACUACUGGUAACGAUAGCUAAUACCGCAUACUAGUAGAUGGACCUGCGUUGUAUUAGCUAGUAGGUAGGGUAAUGGCCUACCUAGGCAACGAUACAUUGCCGACCUGGGAAGGUGAUCGAGCACACUGGGACUGGGGAAAGGCCCAGACUCCUACCGGAGGCAGCAAUAGGGAAUCAUCGGAAAUGGGGGGAACCCUGAACGAGCAACGCCGCGGGAGUGAAGAAGGUUUUCGGAACGGAAAACUCUGUUGUUAAGGGAGCGGUACUUAACCAGAAAGGGACGGCUAACUACGUGCCAGCAGCCGCGGUAAUUC
rnacentral:rRNA from 1 species